UACGGGGGGGGCAAGCGUUGUUCGGAAUUACUGGGUGUAAAGGGUUCGUAGGCGGUGUGGCAAGUCGGGAGUGAAAUCUCUGGGCUCAACCCAGAGUCUGCUUCCGAAACUGUUGUGCUUGAGUGUGGGAGAGGCGCGUGGAAUUGCAGGUGUAGCGGUGAAAUGCGUAGAUAUCUGCAGGAACACCCGUGGCGAAAGCGGCGCGCUGGACCACUACUGACGCUGAGGAACGAAAGCUAGGGGAGCAAACAGG
rnacentral:rRNA from 1 species